rnacentral:misc_RNA from 1 species
UAAUUGAAGCAUAACCACAGUGAGGGAAACAGCCUCCCACCGAUUCAUGACCCAAAAUAAUUUAGUAACAUAAUAGCAAACCAUAUAACUUGUCUCUAUAAUUGGAAUUCAGUUCAGUUUCUUUGAUUAAAUUAUUAUUUUUAGUUAUAUACAAGAUAUCAUACCAACAAAUCAUAUAACUAGUCUCUAAUAAUUAGAUUAUAAUCAAAGAAUGGGUUUGUGCCUUCCAACAAUGCUCAGUGCUUAGUGCACCUUCAAGAAGCUUAAAUCAAGUAAGACAA